rnacentral:rRNA from 1 species
AACGAACGCUGGCGGCAGGCUUAACACAUGCCAGUCGAACGCGUGCAGCAAUGCACGAGUGGCGCACGGGUGAGUAACGAGUGGAUAUCUGCCUUUUGGUUCGGAAUAACCCCGGGAAACUGGGGCUAAUACCGGAUGGUUCCUACGGGAUAAAGAUUUAUCGCCAAAAGAUGAGUCCGCGUCCGAUUAGCUAGUUGGUGAGGUAAUGGCUCACCAAGGCGACGAUCGGUAGCUGGUCUGAGAGGACGAUCAGCCACACUGGGACUGAGACACGGCCCAGACUCCUACGGGAGGCAGCAGUGGGGAAUAUUGGACAAUGGGGGCAACCCUGAUCCAGCCAUGCCGCGUGAGUGAUGAAGGCCUUCGGGUUGUAAAGCUCUUUUGGCGGGGACGAUGAUGACGGUACCCGCAGAAUAAGCCCCGGCUAACUUCGUG